CGUCCAACUUUAAUUUAUUAUGACUUUUUGUCUCGAACUUUGUAGUAUCUAUAUCUAUAUCUAUACAUUAUUCCUUCUAAAUUUGCCACAUGGCAAUGUUCUCUUCAUUUAUACCUUCUAUACCUAUACAUUAUUUCUCCUAAAUUUGCCGGGUGGCAAUAUUCUCUUCAUUGUUGAGUGUGGGCUCCACCCGAACCGACUCAUGUCCUUCACAUGCUUCUUUCUUUUUUGCUUGAAUCGAAUUGGAUUUCUUUCUUUCU
rnacentral:lncRNA from 1 species